UAAAAGCUGGUGUGUAGCAGACAGCAGCACAUCGUGCCAGUUAGGCCAGGAUAUAUAAGCAAGUGGUUCACUUUAGCUUGUGUUGAUUAGCAGGUGUAGUUUGCUAGCAGCUAGGUUAGCUUUAGACACUGCCAACAUCAGUGGCAAUGGCUUUUGGGUGUUACCUCAGUGUGACCUUGCUCCUGUCUGUGUGGACAACUGCAAAAUGUGAUCAUAUUCCCAAUGGAGUUCAUAUGGAGUGUCGUGAUCGUUACUUCAUGAUAGCUGUUGAUCUCUCCUACUCUGGGAAUGAAUUUGUCUUUGAG